rnacentral:rRNA from 1 species
UACGUAGGGGGCUAGCGUUGUCCGGAAUCAUUGGGCGUAAAGCGCGUGUAGGCGGCCCGAUAAGUCCGCUGUGAAAGUCGGGGGCUCAACCCUCGAAUGCCGGUGGAUACUGUCGGGCUAGAGUGCGGAAGAGGCGAGUGGAAUUUCUGGUGUAGCGGUGAAAUGCGUAGAUAUCGAGAGGAACACCUGCGGCGAAGGCGGGUAGCUGGGCCGACACUGACGCUGAUGCGCGAAAGCCAGGGGAGCGAACGGG